ACGAGAUCUCUACGGGGUCAGGAGCCCCUAGAACGUGUACUCUGCUUUGGCGUCUGGCAGUUGGGUCGCUACAAGAGUUAAGUUCUGAGCGACGGGAACUCAUAAAGGUUCGAACAGCUCUGUCGGGAGAUGGCGGGACUACGGCCGGUCCCCGCCCCGUUCGGUCUGCUGUAGGGGGGAUCCCCGUGCCUGCGGCUGCGAAGUUGCGAAUGCUAGGACCCUUAGGAGCAGCGGGAUCACCUCCGUUUAGCGCCGUGCAUGUAGCAGCAGGAUGUGUAGGGGCUGCAGGAACAUCACUAGCGGCAGAGAAUGAAGCUGGAGCCGAGCCCGCGGCACCGCUCUCUCUUGCGGCUGCGCAGUCGGCACUGUCGCUCCUCACUGUGCCUGCUACUGCGCAUGUGUCAACUGGACCGACACUGCUGGGAGCCUCCGCGUCCCUAGAUGGCGCUGCAUCGCUGGCGCCUGAAGCCACCAUGCAACCCGGAAGAAAGCCACUGUGGAUCGCUGCCAUGGCAACAGACGCUGUUUUCGGAAAAAAAAAAAAAAAUAAAAAGCAGAACCAGGAUUACUCAAACAGCUGCCAGAGUCCGGCGUGCGGGUGCUGAGGCCGCGCUCCAGGGCUGGGGGCUGCGCGCUGGGGCUGCCGCUGCGCCGGCUCGGCCGUGGGGGAGGCGGCGCUGGCAGCCACGGCAAAAGGCGGCAGGGGCACCUCGGCGGCAGAGGCACCUCAGCGACAGAGGCAACGCCGACAGCUACUUCUGCAGAGCCAGCCAGACUUCUGCGGGCAUCCCCGGGAGCUGCACGGCGCACGGAGCAGCCCGGGGAACAGCAGCUCGGCGGUGACUGACUUGCGGGGGAGUUGCCCCGCAGAAUCCAGGCAUGUCGGUAACUGAGAACAGAAAGCAGAAUCUCUCUCUCUUUAGUCCUUCUACUCACUUGUGGAUAACUUAAAACUAAAAGAUUGUGUUUUACUAAAAGUUAGCAUGCAAGAAAUUUUAAGAGUUUCCCAGAGAAUGAAUCUUUAUAUAAAAGCUUUAGUGAGUUGCCUUGGUUUUAGUCACAUUUUACCCCUGUAAAGAACUUCUGCCCAAAUUUCGUGUUCAGUCUUAGCAGGAGGAGACAUAAGGUUCACACAAUAGAGAUCAUUUGUUGCUUAGCAACUGGGUGGGACUCAAACCACCUCCAGCAGUUUCUCAGAACUAGGGAGAGAGUAGAACUUAUACACCAAAAA